AGCUGGGAGAUGUUGGGCUGUAACCAGGGGAGGUAGGACUGUAAGCAGGAGAAGUCGGACUAUAUGAUGGAGAAGUCGGACUAUAAGAGGGUGAGGUGGGGCUAUAUGAAGGCGAUGUGGGGCUGUAAGAAGGUGAAGUGGGGCUGUAAGAUGGCGAAGUGGGGCUGUAAGAUGGAGAAGUGGGGCUGUAGGCCGGAGAAGUAGGGCUGUAGGCCGGAGAAGUGGGGCUGUACGCUGGAGAAGUAGGGCUGUAGCUAGGUGAUGUUGGGCUGUAGCUAGGCGAGGUUGGGCUAUAGCUUGGAGAUGUUGGACUAUAACUGGGUGAUGUGGGUGAGUAUGAAGGACUGGUUGGAGAAUAUGCUGGACUUGUCGGGCUGUAGCCAGGGGAGCUGGGGCUAUAAGUGGGGGAAGUGGGGCUGUAACCAGGAGAUGUGGGGCUAUAACCGGGGGAAGUGGGACUGUAUCCUGGAGAGGUCGGGCUGUAACCAGGGGAUGAUGGGCUGUAACCAGGGGAUGAUGGACUGUAACCAGGGGAUGAAGUGGGAGAGAAAGCCAUGCCACCCACAUACGGAGAAAAUUGAGCAUCUGUAAUCGGUGACAUCCGCAUAUUUGGGCUGAGCAAAUAAUUUGGAGACAUCAUUCCAUCGUGAUAUGGGGUUCCACUGAUAGGUGAACGUCCAGGUGUCAUGCCAAAUUCAAGACCACCUUCCAUGUAGCUAGGUAAUGGUAUCUCAAUAGCUUGUUUCAACAUCUCCUCAUUGAGAUACAAUGAACAGCCUCCUGUGCCAAUUGGUGCAAGCUGACCUAACAUGAUAUUUUCUGUUACACCCCUCAGGUGAUCUGACUCUGCAAAUACAGCAGCGUCGAGAAGAAUGUCCACCGUCUCCUCGAACGAGCAUCUCAUCAUGGGACCAGUAUCAUUCCG
rnacentral:misc_RNA from 1 species